rnacentral:lncRNA from 1 species
UAUUUCAUGUAGACUCAACAGCCCCAGUUGAUAGCGUCAUGGAGGUGCUGACAGGUGCCCAGCGGUGGUGCAGUGUGAUUAAUUCAAUGUGCUGUUGCAAUUAGCCCAUCAAAGUCAUUGGGAGAUCAGUGUUUCUCCCGCUGUCACGAGGUGAACCCAACUUGUCUCAGCUUUAAAAAAAGGAAGAAAAAUAUAUUUCGGGGCCCUCCCAUGCUUGAAAAGAAGGUGAAAAGGGAGAGCUGGUACCCACCAGGGGAACCCGGUGAUGUCCCGUCAUGCAGAGGGAAUUCAGGGAGAAGACUCCUGGGAGAAAGCUAACCUGAGUAGGACAGCCAAGAUUUCUCCUUCUCAAUGAUCUUUUUAUGAACUUGGACUAACAGAGUGUGGAAGCUGAUUGGGUCUCCCUGGAUCAUCUCCUUUAUUUGGAAGUGAGUAAAUGGAGGCAUAGAGGGAGUGAGGACAGUGUCCAAGGCUCCUCAGUGGCUCAGUGAUCCAGAGAGAAUGAGGACCAGCUCUGCAGUUUUCCAGGUUAGUUUCCCUUUCAUUGUAUCCAUGAGACUGGGCUCAUGAAAACAUGAUACAACUCG